rnacentral:lncRNA from 1 species
GAAGAGCGAGCGUGAACCAGCCGCAGAGCCUUCUCUGUUCCCGGUGCCAGGCCUCACCAAGGCCUGACCCUCUGCAGUCCACACUAGGGUGGCAAGUGAAGGGACACACAGUUCACAGGGACUGUCAGAACUGCCCGGCCCCACUCCCCCCAAUUAUCGGUGAAGACACUGACUGUUUCCGGUCCUUCCUCUCCCAGGUGUGGGUUCCUCUGUGGACCUCGUCCCUGUCCCCUUCCUUUCCCUGCACACCUGCCUGAAUGUGGCUGAGCCCUGGCUGGGCUCUGUGAGGAGAGCUGUACACGGACUUGAGACACGUGACUGCAACUCUCAGCACUGUGCAGCCCUCUCGUUCAGAGAAGUCACAUGAGGACAUUUCACCUGGGAAUUGCAUUGAGCCACUAGUGAGUGACGAAGACCCCAGGACACAGUCGCAGCUUGCCCAGAGGAGGGCCACAAGCUCCCAGAAGUCCACGGAAGGCGGCCAAGCUGGGAAAGCACUGUGGUGGCCGGAGCCUGGGGUGCUUCCUUCCCUUGUUCUCCUGCGCAGGUCUGCACCCUCAAACCACCCGCGGUCCAGGAGCUGCUGGAACUCUGCCCGACACAGUUGCCACCCAGCUGGAAGGAAGAGGAAAUGCUGGGGUUGACAAAGGACGCACCUUCUCUCCGAGUCACUCCGGGUCACUGGGGCUGAGAGGACACUCACAGGCCGCCCAAGCACACCUGAGCUCAGCGCGCCUCACACUUGCGCUCACAGCGUCAGAAAGAAGCGUGAGGAAGGCUGGGAGACGCAGCCUCAUCCCGGGCAACCACACGCUCAGGGAGCCGAGAUCCUGGACCCCUGGUAGACCCCAGCUUGCUCUGCCACACAGAUUGCGGACAGAUUGUUUAUUAAGAAAUCAGGCCAUGAAUGAGCAGGAAGGGAUUAGUGGUAACCUUGGAGGAUGGGUCAUUCCAGUAUCUCCUGUUUUCUUUUUGCUUUUUAUUGUUUUGUCUUUUCUUAUUUUGAGAUAUAUCUAAAAAUGCAAACAAGACUUAAAAGAAAUACAGUAAAAAGCCAAUUGAGUAGAUUCUGAAACAGAUAAGGAGAUGAGUUGCCAAGAUUGUGAUCCUGUAGAGAACUUACCUGUGUCUUCAGAAGACUUACGAGAGGAAGUGUGGCUUUGAAGGACUUCUAGGUCUCCUGGGGCCUCCCAGCUUGGGAGGGUGAAGUCUGAGGCCAGGGCAUUGCUUCCUCCUGAGGACCGACAGCACUGGGGCCAGGCCUCAGCCUUCCCUGGCACGUAGGUGGCU